AAUCGUGUGUGGUUUUGUGGGAGAAAAUUAUAUAUCUAUGUAAAAUGUAAUAUAUAUAUAUAUGUAACGGAACUAUUGAGUAUUCACCUGUAUUGCGACCGGAACCUUUUGUUUGCUUUUCGCCCGGUACCCUUUUAGAAGCGCACAGCAGCAGUCAUGGCGAUGCGUGUCUCGCACCGCACGUAGUCGCGUCGAAAACCGUGUGAAGCAAGCUAACAGCUGUCCCAUGAAUGUACGGCAGGGAUGGGCAACUUUCAUGAUAAAGAGGGCCACAUUUUUCAUCAUAACCAUCGGAGGGCCACAUGACUGCACACUUCAACUAAACUGAGGAUGCGGGCCGCACUGAGUGAGGCCGCCAGUUGCCCAUCCCUGCAUGCAACUUUUCCAUCUCAAUUUUCCCUCGUCUUGCACCCUUGGCAAGCGGAGCGAGAUUCACGGUGCUAUAUCGACAGAAGAAUUCCGCAAUAAAAGGUUGCACCCGUCAGAGACUCUCCGGUUACUUCGAUGUCGAGGGCUGCUACAAUAUAUAUAUGUAUAUAUAUUAGUGCUGUCAACCUGCUCCCUGCCUGGACUUCGCCUACCCAUCAAAUUUCCUGUGUAUGACCUCCUGCCUGUCCCUUGACCCAUCUCCAGCCUCCUUCUUGGGAAUUGUGUUAAUAAACAUUCUAUCAUGCUCUGCG